GUAAACCCAGGUCUGUCUGGCUCAGAAUUUACUCUGUUACAUGAAGUCCUCUCUGAAGAGCUAGAUCCAGGCUUACACACAGAAAACUAAAGGGAAAAGCUGUUAUUUUCUGUGCAGCCUGUGUAUCUGCAGCCAUCUGGGAAAAACAGAGCUGCCGCAGUAGACAAGCAAGUUUUAAUUUACGAAGCACCGAUCCAGAAAAAAAUGAAGGACUACAACAAGGAAGAAGAAGGCACAUGACCAAGCAGAGGAGAGGUCCUGCACAGGAAGAUGGUGUGGUCCAAAGAUGACCCUGUGCAACAGCCCUGGAGGGAAGUAGACCGGAGCGGAAGGAUCAAUGCACCAGAGUAAAGAGGCGCGGCAGUGAGGACAGGAAUAAUUGACAGAUCAUCAGACAUGAUUAAACCAUUUGGGGAAAGUUUAUUAACUGUGUACAGGAGAUCUAA